CAGGUGGAAAUGUUGGGAUUCUUGGCAUCUCAUAUGUUUGUCAGAUACAUGAAGCUUGAGUUCACUCACUUUCUGAAUCUACAUGUACAACACAACACCGACAAAGGCACAAUCUUCAGUAAAUAUCCAUCUUAUGCUGUGUAUGCUCCCUGUAGAUGGAGCCAUUGUCCUUUUACAAACAAAAUUAAUAUAACAUGUGUAUGUAUAAUCCAUGUCAGGACAUGACCAGUUAAUCUAAAGUCUAGGCUUUCAAAACAUCUGAAAAGAAGUGUUUGCUUCAUGGCUUUGAUUUUCUUUUUUUUUUUUUCCAAACACGAAACCAAAGUAACUUUUAAACACCAGGUUUAACUUUUAGCUAAAGAUCCAAAUGUCCUCUUUUCUAAAUCCCACAGAAAAACUAAAGAGAGAGAGAGAGAGAGAGAGACAUGCCCAGUUUUGUAGAGGAUGUCAUUCUCAUCUUUACCAUUUUCACCUUGUUAUCUAAAUUACUCCCCUACACUUGAGCCCAGAAUCUGCCCACCAAGACUUAAACACGGCUUAAAGAUGAAACACACAAACAUUUACAUCUGUGGUGAGCUUGGUGUUUAUUCCAAAGCCCACCUGAGCUGUACAUACUCACAUGUGGAGGUGUCCAGAGGAAACGUAAAAGGAGCAACAGACAAACAUUUCUCUGUAAGGCUUGUAUAGGUUAAUAUUUAAUGACUUGUGGUGUCUCCCUCUCUUGCAUCUAUAAAACUAUAGCUAUAUAGAUAGACAGCAGCAGUGAGAAGAAAUGCUAAACUAAACUUUGUCUCCAGUAAAGGGAUAAACCACUGGGAGAAGUGAAACAUGGAAAUAAUUGCUGAAGCCUCGAAAAGUCUUCAAAAACUAUUCAUUCAACAAACAGAAUGAGAAACAGAAAGCUCGGCUGUGACAUUGUGUGCUAUAACUUAUUUUAUUUUAUUGUUACAUUGUUGUUGGAUUCUUUAGUAUUAUUUAAAUGUCUCAGCCAGUGUUUCAUCAAAUUAUCUGAUCAAAUAUAAAAUGGAGAAAAAGAGACAGGACUUAAAAAAAAAAUAAUAAUAAUUGACUCCAUCCUUCUAGUCGAACUGAAAUGUUGUUAUGUCAGAGUUUUAACAAUGUGUAGUAGCUUUGUUUAUAUGUUUAAUUUGUUAUUUCUAUUUUUUUCUUUUUUAAGAAAAAAAAAUGUGAAUACAAACUAAGUUGCCUAAUUGUUGACAUCUCCAUUUGCCAGUUUAGUUGACAAAUGUACUUUUAAAAUCAUGUAUGUUUGCACCUGUCUGACAAAGUUAAGCUUGCAGUAUGACACAGCUUGCCAACACUGUGUGUUUUUAAUGUGUUCAAGGUCAAUUUCUUCAAUUUACGGCCUGUUUUUGUUUCUUUUCUCAUCCUGUCCACAGACUGUAUAAACCAUGAACACAGUUUUAAUGUCUUGAGCCUCUGACCACUGAAGAGACACGCUAUUUCUGCCAUACUGCAAAAACAGAUGACCCUUUUCAGUCCGCUUGCCAUGCAAAUUUAUGCACAACUCAUAGCUUUCGAGACAUCACUAUUUUUGUAUCAGGCUGUAACUAUAAUUGUGAGUAAAAAUGGGACCCAGAUGGUUUUUAUUGGCUUUUGUAGCCAGCCUCGAGUGGACACUCAAAGAACUGCAGUUUUUCUUAUUAUUUACUUCUACAUUGGCUUGAUUUUCCAAUACCUGAGGUUGCAGCUUGUCAAUUGUCUCAGUAUAGUUUUCCAUUUUUUUAGACCAUUUCAUAAGCAAGAUAACGGAUAUCCUUACGGUAGUGAUAAUUUGACAAUGUGUUAACAGUGUGUAUCUCUUCUGCUGCCAAGCGGCUAUAAAACUAGAGACAGAGCUGUUGUCCUAAUUUAUUUCACUGCCUGUCAGUGUAAUUUAUGACCUUUGUAAUCCCAAACGCUCAUUCUAGUGUCGUCUAUCUAUACAGAAGGCUGAAAAAUCACAAGUGAAAGUAAAACAAGUAUAUCUCUUUUUCACUGGAUUAAGUUUCUUCCAUCUCAAUAGUUGUGGAAUGAGGAGAGAGACUGGCAGUGAAACAGAUCAGCAUGAAUCACUGCACAAUGUAAAGUUCUCUGGCUUGUGUCUUGAUAAAGCACUCCUCCUCCUGGUUGUAGAGAAUAUAGUGCAUGUGCAGAGUGCCACGUAGUCCACCAGACAGUGUGUGUGUGUGUGGUGACAGACUGUGUGUGUGUGUGUGUGCGUGCGUUGUGCAAGCCCUAACUUGGUGCUCCAAGUGUAAUGGAAACCCAGUAUUUAUGAAAGAGGAGAGAGUUUUUGAGAUGUCUGUUUCUGUCGUAGGAUUUGGGCUGAACUUGACCUUGUUUGAAAAAGUUUUUCAGAUUGGAAGGUGGAGAGAAAAGCUACCACCAGAAAGAAGGAGAAGAGUGUAAAGAAGAGAUUCACAGCGGGAGAAAGGUUGUAAAGAGAAACUUGUAGGGUUUCUGAUGAGGGAUAGAAAAAUAUUAGGAAAAGAUAAGAGUCAGCGAGCUCUAUCAGGGAGGUUUUAAGAAAUGUGUGUGGUUUGAUUUGACCCUGAUGAGAUCAUAAUGGUGUCUUGAAAAUGAAAUGCAAAUCUGCUCUGAAGAAACAGAUACUGAACUACAUAUAAACAAGGGCUAGAGAAAUGUCUGUUUUAUUUCAGCAUCUUCAACGAAAUACCUGAAUCCUUCUAAAAUGUGGACACUUGCUGUUAAAUGCUUAAAUGUAGUCUUCACAUCUCAAGCAAAACGGUGAAUCUCUGUCAGCUGUUGACUCAACAAUGGCGCUGAAUAAGUGGUGUUGGUUUGUGGUAAGUGUAGCAUCAUGAAAGGAAAAGGAACUUUUAAUUUUCCCUCUUUACAAAAUGACAUGUCCCGUGCAGGAGGCUUCGUCACUACUUCCCUCCUUUUUUUUUUUUCUGCAGCCUGCACGUCGAUUUAUUCAAAUUCUCCUGGUUCGAUCGAGAAAACGUCAGGAAUGGGGGUAAAUUCCAGCAACGUGGACAAAAGAACUCAGCUAAUUCUUUGCAGAUGUGUCUCUUAAGCCGUGCGAGGGAACACUGUGCUGCCCUCACUGGAGAGAAAAAGGACUCUGCGUGGAGAGCGUUCAAUGAAGUAC
rnacentral:lncRNA from 1 species